rnacentral:rRNA from 1 species
ACGGGAGGCAGCAGUGGGGAAUAUUGCACAAUGGGCGCAAGCCUGAUGCAGCGACGCCGCGUGAGCGAAGAAGUAUUUCGGUAUGUAAAGCUCUAUCAGCAGGGAAGAUAAUGACGGUACCUGACUAAGAAGCACCGGCUAAAUACGUGCCAGCAGCCGCGGUAAUACGUAUGGUGCAAGCGUUAUCCGGAUUUACUGGGUGUAAAGGGAGCGUAGGCGGUUUAAUAAGUCUGAUGUGAAAGCCCGGGGCUCAACUCCGGUAUUGCAUUGGAAACUGUUAAACUUGAGUGUCGGAGGGGUAAGCGGAAUUCCUAGUGUAGCGGUGAAAUGCGUAGAUAUUAGGAGGAACACCAGUGGCGAAGGCGGCUUACUGGACGAUUACUGACGCUGAGGCUCGAAAGCGUGGGGAGCAAACAGGAUUAGAUACCCUGGUA